rnacentral:rRNA from 1 species
CAGCCGCCACGGGAAUACGAAGGGGGCUAGCGUUGUUCGGAAUUACUGGGCGUAAAGCGCACGUAGGCGGAUAUUUAAGUCAGGGGUGAAAUCCCGCAGCUCAACUGCGGAACUGCCUUUGAUACUGGGUAUCUUGAGUAUGGAAGAGGUUAGUGGAAUUGCGAGUGUAGAGGUGAAAUUCGUAGAUAUUCGCAGGAACACCAGUGGCGAAGGCGGCUAACUGGUCCAUAACUGACGCUGAGGUGCGAAAGCGUGGGGAGCAAACAGGAUUAGAUACCCCUGUAGUCCCUGUCUCUUAUAC